ensembl:lncRNA
GCUCACUGCCGCGUGCAUGCCAAUUAGGCCCUAAUCUGAUUUCUGUUCUAUCUCUGCGAACCCCAUUAAAACCCAAUUCUGCUUAUUAACAACAGCUUUCUCGCUUCGCAGUGCCUCGCCCUCCCAGGGUUGCUCCGGCGCUGUGAGGAUCGGGGCUCCGCGCGCCGGGCCGCAGGGGACCCCCUUCUCCGGGGCCGCCGCGCCCGCCCCUCCGCCCCCGGAUGCGCCACCUCCCCACCUCUAGAGCCCCACCUCCCCGCGUUGCCCAGGCCGGGGUCGGGACCCAGGCCCGGCGCCCCCAACGAGUCACGGGACCCCUUCUUCGGGAACAAUGGGAUCGUAGAAAGCUGGAACUGGGCGUUGUUGGGAACUCGGAGGUCAUCAAGCCCCGCCUCCCACGCCCUGCAGGAAUUCCCUAGACGCUGGGCGAUCCUCAGGCUGUUCCCGGUACGGGGAGCUCACUCCCUCUCUCAAGGAAACCUGGUCGGCUUCAAGUUCCCGGCGCCUUCGCUGUGUGACAUUAAUCAGAGCUCUGGACCUCUCCGGUCCGAAGUAGCUUCAUCUGUACCCCGGGGGCGCGAUGAUAAUGCUUGCCUCCUGAGACUGUUGAAGGAUAAGAAGACACCGGCAAAGCAUAAGAGCGCCGGAGUGAGGCAGCUGUAAGGAGCAGCACUACGGAUCCAUCUAGCCCUUGCAGACACAGACAUCUUCCAAGCAAAUGUGUGAGCACGGGAGUGGUGAAGCAAUCCUUGGCGAGAUAAGGCGGGCACUCUCCUAUCUUGGAUCAUACCACCCCGGCAUGUGGCAGAGGCUUAGGGGGCACAGAGUCUGAGGGACAUGACUGUCCAGUCCUUCCUCCACCCACCCGGCCCUGCCUCCCCAAGGGACCACAGAGGCAAGAACAAUGCUUUCUUCUUGGAGGUGUGUGGGACAUCUGGGCUAGCAGAGAGGCACCCAAAGGGACAGACCCACAUCGACUGGUUCUUCUGUCUUAAGCACUGCUGAAGACCCUCCCAGAGAGACUCAUGUCCACCCGCAGGGGUGGAACCUGUUGGGCAGGUUACCCAAAGCUGAUCUCCCACAGAAGAGAGCUUUGGGGGCUGCAGGGCUGCUGUCCUUCUGAACUGACCCUGAUGGUGAGCCCACGACCACCUGCACACCCUUUAUCUCAUUGGACUGUGUCAACCACGCUGAGAAAAAGCUUUUGCUGGGCCCCUCUUCCAAAUCAAGGCAGAAAGGUCAUCACCGCUGGCCUGAGAUCAUUCAGCUUGUAAGUGGCACAGGUUGAGAGAUUGAGCUCAUACAUUUGGCA